CGUGUAGGCUGUCGUGUUAGUCGGGUGUGAAAGCCCAGGGCUCAACCCUGGAAGUGCACUCGAAACUGCACGACUGGAGUCUCGGAGAGGGAGGCGGAAUUCUGGGUGUAGAGGUGAAAUUCGUAGAUAUCCAGAGGAACACCGGUGGCGAAGGCGGCCUCCUGGACGAGCACUGACGCUGAGACGCGAAAGCGUGGGGAGCAAACA
rnacentral:rRNA from 1 species